rnacentral:rRNA from 1 species
GAUGAACGCUGGCGGCGUGCUUAACACAUGCAAGUCGAACGGUGAACGAGGGAGCUUGCUCCCUCCGGAUCAGUGGCGAACGGGUGAGUAAAACGUGAGCAAUCUGCCCUGGACUCUGGGAUCAGCGCUGGAAACGACGUCUAAUACCGGAUACGAGGCGAGGGGGCAUCCCCAACGCCUGGAAAGAACUUCGGUCCAGGAUGAGCGCGCGGCCUAUCAGCUAGUUGGUGAGGUAACGGCUCACCAAGGGGACGACGGGUAGCCGGCCUGGGAGGGUGACCGGCCACACUGGGACUGAGACACGGCCCAGACUCCUACGGGAGGCAGCAGGGGGGAAUAUUGCACAAUGGGCGCAAGCCUGAUGCAGCAACGUCGCGUGAGGGACGACGGCCUUCGGGUUGUAAACCUCUUUUAGCAGGGAAGAAGCGAAAGUGACGGUACCUGCAGAAAAAGCACCGGCUAACUACGUGCCAGCAGCCGCAGUAACAC